UACGUAGGGGGCAAGCGUUAUCCAGAUUUACUGGGCGUAAAGCGCGUGUAGGCGGCUGGUUAGGCGUGAUGUGAAAUCUUCCGGCUCAACCGGAAAACUGCAUUGCGAACCGGCCUGGCUAGAGUGCAGGAGAGGGAAGCGGAAUUCCAGGUGUAGCGGUGAAAUGCGUAGAUAUCCGGAGGAACACCGGUGGCGAAGGCGGCUUCCUGGACCGACACUGACGCUGAGGCGCGAAAGCUAGGGGAGCAAACGGG
rnacentral:rRNA from 1 species